GGCCCGAUGGUCAAGCGGUCAAGACGACGGCCUCUCACGCCGUAAACGGGAGUUCGAUUCUCCCUCGGGUCACCA
rnacentral:tRNA from 1 species